UACGUAUGGUGCAAGCGUUAUCCGGAUUUACUGGGUGUAAAGGGAGCGUAGGCGGCGCGUUAAGUCUGAUGUGAAAACCCGAGGCUCAACCACGGGAGUGCAUUGGAAACUGGCGGGCUGGAGUGCCGGAGAGGUAAGCGGAAUUCCUAGUGUAGCGGUGAAAUGCGUAGAUAUUAGGAGGAACACCAGUGGCGAAGGCGGCUUACUGUACGGCAACUGACGCUGAGGCUCGAAAGCGUGGGGAGCAAACAGG
rnacentral:rRNA from 1 species